UACGGAGGGUCCAAGCGUUAUCCGGAAUCAUUGGGUUUAAAGGGUCCGUAGGCGGUUUUGUAAGUCAGUGGUGAAAGCCCAUCGCUCAACGGUGGAACGGCCAUUGAUACUGCAAGACUUGAAUUAUUGUGAAGUAACUAGAAUAUGUAGUGUAGCGGUGAAAUGCUUAGAGAUUACAUGGAAUACCAAUUGCGAAGGCAGGUUACUAACAAUAUAUUGACGCUGAUGGACGAAAAGCGUGGGUAG
rnacentral:rRNA from 1 species